AGACGGGGGGGGCGAGCGUUGUUCGGAAUUACUGGGCGUAAAGGGCGCGCAGGCGGCCUGGGAAGUCUUGGGUGAAAGCCCCCAGCUCAACUGGGGAAUGGCCUGAGAAACCACUAGGCUGGAGUGCUGGAGAGGGAAGCGGAAUUCCCGGUGGAGCGGUGAAAUGCGUAGAUAUCGGGAGGAACACCAGAGGCGAAGGCGGCUUCCUGGACAGACACUGACGCUGAGGCGCGAAAGCUAGGGGAGCAAACGGGAUUAGAAACCCCGGUAGUCC
rnacentral:rRNA from 1 species